AAUUAAGCUAUGAAAAGAAAAGUAAUAAUUUUAGAUUUUCAGAGAGUCUCUGGUUGGUGAAAAGAGAUAGUCGAACGUUAUGAAAAUGGUCUUUGAGCAUUAGUUAUCGAGAGAGAGAUCUUUAGAUGCUACGGGUUCACCCGAUAUAGUGAUAGGUUAUCGAAAUAUUUCCGUAACCGAAAAGUGGCUUGUUUUAAAAACAAGUAAUGAAGGUGGUACCGCGAUAAGGUAUUUUUAUCGUCCUUGAU
rnacentral:ncRNA from 1 species